rnacentral:rRNA from 1 species
UACGAAGGGUGCAAGCGUUACUCGGAAUUACUGGGCGUAAAGCGUGCGUAGGCGGUUUGUUAAGUCCGUUGUGAAAGCCCUGGGCUCAGCCUGGGAAUUGCAGUGGAUACUGGCGAGCUAGAGUGCGGUAGAGGAUGGUGGAAUUCCCGGUGUAGCGGUGAAAUGCGUAGAGAUCGGGAGGAACACCCGUGGCGAAGGCGGCCAUCUGGACCAGCACUGACGCUGAGGCACGAAAGCGUGGGGAGCAAACAGG